rnacentral:rRNA from 1 species
UACGUAGGGGGCAAGCGUUGUCCGGAUUUACUGGGCGUAAAGAGCGUGUAGGCGGCCAGGCAGGUCUGUUGUGAAAACUGGAGGCUUAACCUCCAGACGUCGACAGAAACCGCUUGGCUAGAGUCCGGAAGAGGAGAGUGGAAUUCCUGGUGUAGCGGUGAAAUGCGCAGAUAUCAGGAAGAACACCUAUGGCGAAGGCAGCUCUCUGGGACGGUACUGACGCUGAGACGCGAAAGCGUGGGGAGCGAACAGG